rnacentral:rRNA from 1 species
AUGUAUAUCUGCGCAACUAGCGGUGUGUUUGAUGUUGACUUCCGGGGUGAGUGGCUGGAUCUUGGUGAGCAUGACUACAGGUUAUUUGGUAGCCAGUUCUCGGAGCUCGAGCGCAUAGCUAUUGAUCUUAGCCAGGGGCGUUCUCCCGAAAAGACAAGAUCUGGUGUUAUGAAGGGGCGGUUGGGAGCUUUGAGAGGUUCUAUGGCUGCUUGUGCAGAGAGCCCUACUACACCCAAGAAUCCCAUUGUGGAAUUGAUAGACAGCGAUGAUGAUGUGUUUGACAAGAUUGCUAGCGUUGGAAGAGUGACGAGGAGCGCUGCUGCCAUAGGUUUAUCUCCCCUUGCUGGGAUAGUGGAUCGUAGAGCUGGUGGUGCUAGGAAAGAUCCUGCUUUGGAUACUAGCAAUGUUGUAAGCACGAAGCGUGCGCCCAGAGCUCCUAUAAAGUUUUGCUCCCCUGUGCAGCAGCUUCACCCUCAUAAAUUCGCUCACCUGGACAAGGCUCACAGGUUGUAUAAUCUGUUGCUUAGUGAUGAAUGGCGUGAGAAGUAUGCCGAGAAUACAUUCUCAAUGAUACCUCAGCCUGAUGAAAGCGUAACUAACUUCACUGGGAAUCGCAUCUGGGAAGUUUUUUCACCUGGGCAAAUGAUGGAGGGUGAUGUAAUGGACUUCCUCAUUGAUGAUUGGAAGCAAGAUCCCGAGAGAAAUGCUGAUUUCGCAUCUGGGAAAAGGAUAUUGCUGAGUCCAUAUUUCAUCACGGUUGUGCUUGACUGUUUGUUUUACGAGGAUGAAAAUAAAGUGUUUAAUGUGGAGAGUGCAGCGAGAGAUUUCAAGGGCUAUGUUAAAGCUAAUGAAGACUUGCUCAGUGCCGACCUUAUCAUGAUGCCUCUAUUCAAGCCUAUGGUUUUAUCAAAGGAUAGGAAAGUGAACCACUAUUCCUUAUAUGACAUGAAUCGGUACCGAAGUAGCGUUGACAUCCUUGACUCUUUACCUUAUCCGAAGAACCACCGUCCUUCAAAGAACACCUAUCACAAAGACUGCGAGAAGAUUCCACGCAUUGUUGAUUGGAACGCUGAGGAUCUGUAUAGAGUUGUGUUCAACUGGAAUAACCAUCUUAUGGUGACGGAGCUUCCCAAGGAGGUUCAGGCUUUGGCUCCUCAUGCAUAG